rnacentral:rRNA from 1 species
AUACGUAGGGGGCGAGCGUUGUCCGGAAUGAUUGGGCGUAAAGGGCGCGUAGGCGGCCGCUUAAGUCUGGAGUGAAAGUCCUGUUUUCAAGAUGGGAAUUGCUUUGGAUACUGGGGGGCUUGAGUGCAGGAGAGGUUACCGGAAUUCCCGGUGUAGCGGUGAAAUGCGUAGAGAUCGGGAGGAACACCAGUGGCGAAGGCGGGUAACUGGACUGCAACUGACGCUGAGGCGCGAAAGUGUGGGGAGCAAACAGGAUUAGAUACCCUGGUAGUCCACACUGUAAACGAUGAAUGCUAGGUCUAAGAGGUAUCGACCCCUUUUGUGCCGGAGUCAACACAAUAAGCAUUCCGCCUGGGGAGUACGGCCGCAAGGUUGAAACUCAAAUGAAUUGACGGGG